GGAAUCUUCCACAAUGGACGAAAGUCUGAUGGAGCAACGCCGCGUGAGUGAAGAAGGGUUUCGGCUCGUAAAACUCUGUUGUUAAAGAAGAACAUAUCUGAGAGUAACUGUUCAGGUAUUGACGGUAUUUAACCAGAAAGCCACGGCUAACUACGUGCCGG
rnacentral:rRNA from 1 species